UAUUACAUGUUGUGGUUUCGGUC
rnacentral:siRNA from 1 species